GGAUGAACGCUGGCGGCGUGCCUAAUACAUGCAAGUCGAGCGAACAGACGAGGAGCUUGCUCCUCUGACGUUAGCGGCGGACGGGUGAGUAACACGUGGAUAACCUACCUAUAAGACUGGGAUAACUUCGGGAAACCGGAGCUAAUACCGGAUAAUAUAUUGAACCGCAUGGUUCAAUAGUGAAAGACGGUUUUGCUGUCACUUAUAGAUGGAUCCGCGCCGCAUUAGCUAGUUGGUAAGGUAACGGCUUACCAAGGCAACGAUGCGUAGCCGACCUGAGAGGGUGAUCGGCCACACUGGAACUGAGACACGGUCCAGAGUCCUACGGGAGGCAGCAGUAGGGAAUCUUCCGCAAUGGGCGAAAGCUUGACGGAGCAGCGCCGCGUGAGUGAUGAAGGUCUUCGGAUCGUAAAACUCUGUUAUUAGGGAAGAACAAAUGUGUAAGUAACUAUGCACGUCUUGACGGUACCUAAUCAGAAAGCCACGGCUAACUACGUG
rnacentral:rRNA from 1 species